rnacentral:rRNA from 1 species
CGCGUAGGCGGUUUGGUUUGUUAGGUGUGAAAUUCCUGGGCUUAACCUGGGGGCUGCACUUAAGACGGCCAGGCUUGAGUGUGAAAGAGGGUCGUGGAAUUCCCAGUGUAGAGGUGAAAUUCGUAGAUAUUGGGAAGAACACCGGUGGCGAAGGCGGCGACCUGGUUCAUUACUGACGCUGAGGCGCGAAAGCGUGGGGAGCAAACA